rnacentral:rRNA from 1 species
UACAGAGGUCUCAAGCGUUGUUCGGAUUCAUUGGGCGUAAAGGGUGCGUAGGUGGCGGGGUAAGUCAGGUGUGAAAUUUCGGAGCUUAACUCCGAAACUGCAUUCGAUACUGCCGUGCUUGAGGACUGGAGAGGAGACUGGAAUUUACGGUGUAGCAGUGAAAUGCGUAGAUAUCGUAAGGAAGACCAGUGGCGAAGGCGGGUCUCUGGACAGUUCCUGACGCUGAGGCACGAAGGCCAGGGGAGCAAACGGG